AUUGAACGCUGGCGGCAUGCCCUACACAUGCAAGUCGAACGGGAACAGGUCUUCGGAUGCUGACGAGUGGCGAACGGGUGAGUAAUACAUCGGAACGUGCCCGAGAGUGGGGGAUAACGAGGCGAAAGCUUUGCUAAUACCGCAUACGAUCUCAGGAUGAAAGCAGGGGACCGCAAGGCCUUGCGCUCACGGAGCGGCCGAUGGCAGAUUAGGUAGUUGGUGGGAUAAAAGCUUACCAAGCCGACGUUCUGUAGCUGGUCUGAGAGGACGACCAGCCACACUGGGACUGAGACACGGCCCAGACUCCUACGUGAGGCAGCAGUGGGGAAGUUUGGACAAUGGGCGCAAGCCUGAUCCAGCCAUGCCGCGUGCAGGAUGAAGGCCUUCGGGUUGUAAACUGCUUUUGUACGGAACGAAAAGACUCUGGUUAAUACCUGGGGUCCAUGACGGUACCGUAAGAAUAAGCACCGGCUAACUACGUGCCAGCCGCCGCCGUAACAC
rnacentral:rRNA from 1 species